GCUGGAAUCGCUAGUAAUCGCGAAUCAGAAUGUCGCGGUGAAUACGUUCCCGGGUCUUGUACACACCGCCCGUCACACCAUGGGAGUCAGUAACGCCCGAAGUCAGUGACCCAACCGGAACCGGAGGGAGCUGCCGAAGGUGGGACCGAUAACUGGGGUGAAGUCGUAACAAGGUAUC
rnacentral:rRNA from 1 species